UACGGGGGGGGGCAAGCGUUUGUUCGGAAUUACUGGGCGUAAAGGGCUCGUAGGCGGCCAACUAAGUCCGACGUGAAAUCCCAGGCUUUAACCUGGGAACUGCGUCGGAUACUGGAUGGCUUGAAUCCGGGAGAGGGAUGCGGAAUUCCAGGUGUAGCGGUGAAAUGCGUAGAUAUCUGGAGGAACACCGGUGGCGAAGGCGGCUCCUGUCG
rnacentral:rRNA from 1 species